rnacentral:snoRNA from 2 species
CUGUCCGAUGAUGAUCAAACUAAAUACUUUCGUUCUUCUGAUGUGCUAAGGUGCGAUGCAGAAGCAAUUUGGAGACCUGAACUGAGGAUAU